GGAGAGGUGCCCGAGCGGCUAAAGGGAACAGACUGUAAAUCUGUCGGCGCGAGUCUACGAAGGUUCGAAUCCUUCCCUCUCCACCA
rnacentral:tRNA from 2 species